rnacentral:rRNA from 1 species
AUUGAACGCUGGCGGCAGGCCUAACACAUGCAAGUCGAGCGGAGCGGCGGACGGGUGAGUAAUGCCUAGGAAUCUGCCUGGUAGUGGGGGAUAACGUCCGGCAACGGGCGCUAAUCCCGCAUCCUAUUAGCUGAGCCUAGGUCGGAUUAGCUAGUUGGUGAGGUAAAGGCCUACCAAGGCGACGAUCCGUAACUGGUCUGAGAGGAUGAUCAGUCACACGUGGACUGAGACACGGUCCAGACACCGACGGGAGGCAGGAGUGGGGAAAAUUGGAGAAUGGGCGAAAACCUGAACCAGGCAUGGCGCGUGUGGGAAGAAGGGCUUCGGAAUGGAAAGCACUUUAAGUUGGGAGGCGUUAACAACAGAAUAAGCACCGGCUAACUUCGUGGCAGCAGCCGCGGGAAUAC